UACGGGGGGGAGCAAGCGUUGUUCGGAUUUACUGGGCGUAAAGGGCGCGUAGGCGGCCACCGCAAGUCGACUGUGAAAUCUCCGGGCUUAACCCGGAAAGGUCAGCCGAUACUGCGGGGCUAGAGUGCAGAAGGGGCAACUGGAAUUCUCGGUGUAGCGGUGAAAUGCGUAGAUAUCGAGAGGAACACCUGCGGCGAAGGCGGGUUGCUGGGCUGACACUGACGCUGAGGCGCGAAAGCUAGGGGAGUGAACGGG
rnacentral:rRNA from 1 species